AUGGAACAAUACGUCCGCCUCUGGGAGCUCUUGUCGGAUAUCCAGCUUCAUCCUGACACUGAGGACUCCAUUACCUGGUCCUUGACCCCUAAUGGGUGCUACUCGGCCACCUCCGCCUACAAGGUCCAGUUCCUUGCCUCUUUGCCCUGCCAGUUCGGGAACAUCGUGUGGAAGACCUGGGCCCCUCCAAAGUGUCGUUUCUUCGCCUGGCUCGCUGUCCAGAACCGUUUAUGGACCGCCGAUCGCUUGGCGAAACGCGGAUGGCCGCACCAACCUACUUGUCAGCUCUGCCGUACCUCCCCUGAGACGGCACGACACAUUCUUUUCGAGUGCCGCUUCUCCAGACGUAUCUGGACGGCCGCGGCCUCUUGGCUGUCUUGUCCAGACCUCAUCAGCAGCAUCGGGGAGGGUAGGCCUAAAGUCGUGGACUAUUGGUUGGCCGUUUCGAAGUCCACCACCUCCUCCCCAAAUGGCUUGCGCUCAGCUAUCACGCUCAUCACUUGGGAGAUCUGGAAAGAGAGGAAUGAACGAGUUUUCAACAACAAGUCCUCCCUGCCAUCGGUUGUCAUGCAUAAGAUUAGGGAAGAGGGGAAGGACUGGAUCCUCGCCGGUGCUAAAAAUCUGGCGGAACUUGUAGGCUGA
rnacentral:rRNA from 1 species